rnacentral:rRNA from 1 species
GAUGAACGCUAGCUACAGGCUUAACACAUGCAAGUCGAGGGGAAACGACAUCGAAAGCUUGCUUUUGAUGGGCGUCGACCGGCGCACGGGUGAGUAACGCGUAUCCAACCUGCCCAUCACUUGGGAAUAACCUUGCGAAAGUAAGACUAAUACCCAAUGAUAUCCCACGAAGGCAUCGGAAUGGGAUUAAAGAUUUAUCGGUGAUGGAUGGGGAUGCGUCUGAUUAGCUUGUUGGCGGGGUAACGGCCCACCAAGGCAACGAUCAGUAGGGGUUCUGAGAGGAAGGUCCCCCACAUUGGAACUGAGACACGGUCCAAACUCCUACGGGAGACAGCAGUGAGGAAUAUUGGUCAAUGGGCGAGAGCCUGAACCAGCCAAGUAGCGUGCAGGAAGACGGCCCUAUGGGUUGUAAACUGCUUUUAUAAGGGAAUAAAGUGGGUCACGUGUGACUUUUUGCAUGUACCUUAUGAAUAAGGACCGGCUAAUUCCGUG